rnacentral:rRNA from 1 species
GGACGAACGCUGGCGGCGUGCCUAAUACAUGCAAGUCGAACGGUCUUUCUAUGGAAGCUUGCUCCACUGAGAAGAUAGUGGCGAACGGGUGAGUAACACGUGGGUAACCUGCCCAUAAGAGGGGGGAUAACAUCCGGAAACGGGUGCUAAUACCGCAUAGUCUUCUUGAUCGCAUGAUCGGGAAAGGGAAGACGGCCUUUGUGCUGUCGCUUAUGGAUGGACCCGCGGCGUAUUAGUUAGUUGGUGAGGUAACGGCUCACCAAGACGAUGAUACGUAGCCGACCUGAGAGGGUGAUCGGCCACAUUGGGACUGAGACACGGCCCAAACUCCUACGGGAGGCAGCAGUAGGGAAUCUUCCGCAAUGGACGAAAGUCUGACGGAGCAACGCCGCGUGAGUGAAAGAAGGUUUUCGGAUCGUAAAACUCUGUUGUCAGAGAAGAACAAGUUGGAGAGUAACUGCUCCAGCCUUGACGGUAUCUGACCAGAAAGCCACGGCUAACUACGUGCCAGCCGCCGC